rnacentral:rRNA from 1 species
CCUACGGGAGGCAGCAGUGGGGGAUAUUGCACAAUGGGGGCAACCCUGAUGCAGCGACGCCGCGUGAGCGAUGGAGUACUUCGGUAUGUAAAGCUCUGUCAGCAGGGAAGAGAAUGACGGUACCUGACCAAGAAGCCCCGGCUAAAUCCGUCCAGGCAGCGGCGGUAAUACGUAUGGGGCAAGCGUUAUCCGGAUUAACUGGGGGUAAAGGGGGCGUAGGCGGCAGGGCAAGCCUGAGGUGAAAGCCCGGGGCUCAACCCCGGGACUGCAUUGGGAACUGCCCCGCUCGAGUGCCGGAGGGGCAGGCGGAAUUCCUAGUGUAGCGGUGAAAUGCGUAGAUAUUAGGAGGAACACCAGUGGCGAAGGCGGCCUGCUGGACGGUGUACUGACACUGAUGCUCGAAAGUGUGGGUAUCAAACAGGAUUAGAUACCCUAGUAGUC